rnacentral:lncRNA from 1 species
UCCAGAUCUGGAAGAAUAUGCUCCUCCACUUUCCAUGUAAGUGUUAACAUUCUUAUUACCAAUUCCAAGUUUUUCUAGUUCCUACUCUUGCAGACAUUUUAUUCUGUAAUGGUUCCGAAAACGAAUUUGUGCAAUUAUCCGAUGUUUCAGGACCAUUGCUCACAACUCAUUGAAGCUCGCUUUUACCUUAAAAUAUAUUCUGUAGGACAGUAGUCCACUACCGUCACAAAAUUCCAUGAAUUAAAGUUUGAUAAUAUACAAAGUAGCAAAAUAAUUUGCUAAUUUACGUGAAACUUUGACCCAUGUUAUGGUUAUGGUUAUGGUUAGGAAUUAUAAUCAUAAAAGAUUUUCUCAAACUACUCAGCACACAAGUUCUUUAAUUCUAAAAACUAUUUCGCAUUAUUAUCUCAAUUAGUCAUAAAUUUUUUUAUUUUUUUUUUCCCGGAUUGCAAACUAAAGCUAUUAAUCAACUGAACCUUAUUUAUGAUUAAGUGAAGUAUUCAAAUUAAACUUG